rnacentral:tRNA from 1 species
CGGAUGUUCGCUGGUGUAAAGGAUUGCGGGACUUUUAAUCCGUUGGUCACAAGUUCGAAUCUUGUACGUCCUACCA